GACGAACGCUGGCGGCGUGCUUAACACAUGCAAGUCGAACGGAAAGGCCCUGCUUGCAGGGUGCUCGAGUGGCGAACGGGUGAGUAACACGUGGGUGAUCUGCCCCUUACUUUGGGAUAAGCCUGGGAAACUGGGUCUAAUACUGGAUAGGACCAUGCUGUAGGUGGUGUGGUGGAAAGAUUUUUUCGGUAAGGGAUGAGCUCGCGGCCUAUCAGCUUGUUGGUGGGGUAAUGGCCUACCAAGGCGU
rnacentral:rRNA from 1 species